rnacentral:sRNA from 1 species
CGAAUCUAUAUCCCGGGAAGAGGUUGGUU